rnacentral:lncRNA from 10 species
CCAAGAGUCCCGGCCCACCCAAUGUCAACUUCUAUUCUUUAAUCUCAGCCCCAAAUGACUGUGAAUUCACAGGGCAUUCUUCUAGCUCCAACUACAUCAAUGAGGGAUAAACUAGAAAGAAGACAUGGCUGGACUCUGGUAUAGAAACGGAUGAGGAACUCAAAGCAGUGGGCUGGGAUUGCUGUGCUCUGUGUCUGGAAGCAGGCGACAGUGGCCUGGCGUCCAGCCUCAGCCGGCGGGGACCAAUGUCCCACAGGAGGACGGGGUUCAAGCCCCACUGCAGAGAUGAGGCUGAAAAGCCAAGCAAUGAAUGAAGGUAUUAAGUCAGAGCCAGCAGGAACUGGAAUUGAAAUUGCUUCAGGUGUUCCCAGGUGUUUCUUCACGUUCCUAAAGGCCGUGUGACGUCCCCCAUACCUGGAACAGAAAGGAAGUGGCCGUAGCCAGGCUCUGAAUGUGCUGAGUGGGAAAGAAAGGUGCUGGGGGAGGAGGACCUGGACUUCACACUUAACAAGAAGGCUGGGAUGUGGCCCACACCUCUCUCCUUGCCAGGCCAUGCUGUGUGAGGGCAACGGUCUCCCAGGUGGGUAGAUGAUUAGGCCAAAGACAGAGGCUCGUCUGCUAGAGUUCAGAUUCUCCCUUGGGGUCCCAGGGGCC